rnacentral:rRNA from 1 species
CUACGGGGGGCAGCAGUGAGGAAUAUUGCACAAUGGGGGGAACCCUGAUGCAGCAACGCCGCGUGGAGGAUGACGCAUUUCGGUGUGUAAACUCCUUUUAUAUGUCAAGAAAAUGAUGGUAGCAUAUGAAUAAGCACCGGCUAACUCCGUGCCAGCAGCCGCGGUAAUACGGAGGGUGCAAGCGUUACUCGGAAUCACUGGGCGUAAAGGACGCGUAGGCGGGUUGGAAAGUCAGGUGUGAAAUCCUACAGCUUAACUGUAGAACUGCACUUGAAACUUCUAAUCUAGAGUAUGGGAGGGGGAGAUGGAAUUAGUGGUGUAGGGGUAAAAUCCGUAGAUAUCACUAGGAAUACCUAAAGCGAAGGCGAUCUCCUGGAACAUUACUGACGCUAAGGCGUGAAAGCGUGGGGAGCAAACAGGGUUAGAUACCCCUGUAGUC